rnacentral:rRNA from 1 species
ACGAUCGGUAGCUGGUCCGACAGCAUGACCAUUCACACUGGAACUGAGACGCAGCUCCCACUCCUACGGGAGGCAGCAAUGGGGAGUAUUGGACAAUGGGGGCAACCCUGAUCCAGCAAUGCCGCGUGUGUGAAGAAGGCCUGAGGGUUGUAAAGCACUUUCAGUGGGGAGGAGGGUUGGUAGGUUGAUAGCUAGAUGCUUGGACGUUACCCACAUAAGAUGAACCGGCUAACUCCUAUGCCAGCAGCCGCGGUAAUACGGAGGGUGCAAGCGUUAAUCGGAAUUACUGGGCGUAAAGCGUGCGUAGGUGGUUGAUUAAGUUAUCUGUGAAAUCCCUGGGCUUAACCUGGGCAGGUCAGAUGAUACUGGUUAACUCGAGUAUGGGAGAGGGUAGUGGAAUUUCCGGUGUAGCGGUGAAAUGCGUAUAGAUCGCAAGGAACACCAGUGGCGAAGGAGGCUACCUGGCCUAUUACUGACACUGAGGCACGAAAGCGUGGGGAGCAAACAGGAUUAGAUAACAUGGUAGUCCACGCUGUAGACGAUCUCAACUAGCUGUUGCAUAUAUGAAUAUAUUUAGUGGCGCAACACACGCGAUAACUUGCUCGCCUGGGGAGUACGGUCGUAAGAUUAAAACUCUCAGGAUUUGAGGGGGGCGCGCACAAGCAGUGGAGCAUGUGGUUAUUUCGAUGAAGCGCGAAGAAACUAACCUACCAUUGAAAUACACCUGAUUUUUUAGAGAUGCGUUACUGACUUCUGGAACAUUGUUACAGUGGUGGCUUGCUGUCGUCAGCUCGUGUCAUAAUAGAUAGUUUAAGUCCCGCAACCACCGAAAACAUUGCAGUAGUUGUCUGCUCGCAAGGGUGGGA